rfam:Planomicrobium sp. ES2 genome assembly, contig: CONTIG000001
UUCUUAUCGAGAGAAGUCGAGGGACUGGCCCUAUGACGCUUCAGCAACCAGCCGAAAGGUCAGGUGCUAAAUCCAGCAGGCAAGCGAUUGCCUGAGAGAUGAAAA